AAUCACUGGUUCAGGCCAUGACUUAGCAUUUUUUGCUACAUCUCCUCUUUGAAUCAGAAGUAGAAACUGAAGAGAUUUCCACAUCAGCCUCUUACUGUCAUAAGCUGAGUACCUGAAAGCAUAUCUAGGAACAGAUGAAGAUGUAUUAAGGAAGUGUACUAGUGUUCGCUGAGUGACCAGAAGAACCCUGACCUCAUUUAAGGGUUGGCAGUGGAGGAGGGGGUAUCUUGCCUGAAGGUCCCUUCCUACUUGAGGCCUUCUGAAGAUAAGUCUGACUUCCUUAAAUUGUGACAUUUCAAUGGACAAGUAAAGUUGUUCAGAGGACACUGGGAAAACCAGGAGUGAUAUGAAGACUUUCCUUGACUUUUCUGUGCUGAUACAGACUGCUUGGAAUAAUCGGUGAGACUUCUCCAGGAUAUCGAAGCCCAGGAAGAAAGGAAAUUGAAAUGGUUCUUCUAUGUUUUUUCUUCCCUCUUUUUAAAUCCUUACCAAACAAUAUGCAUCAUUACAAAUUGGCUCAUUGGUUGGGAACCAGUACCUCAGGGAUACCUGUCAGUGGCAUGUACCACCACUUGGCAAGGUAAUGCAGAAAUUGCCACUACUGAAAUGUGUAGGACUGAGAUGUGCUGGACCCUGUACUGUUUGUCUUGACAAAUUUGAUGUUGAAUGCUAAGCAGAGGACCACAUCAUAGGACAAACAAUGAUCUCUGUAUAGUGAUGGUCAUCUUCUCUUCCUGUGUUUUGAUAGGUCUACUAAGUCAAGGUGAGACCUUUUGGACUUUUUGGUGUUUCCUCCACAUUGCCUUCACACAUGCAGUGGUAGUUAUGGACUUAGUAGAUUGCCAAACAAGCGGGAUUCUUAUUUGGAAUCUUGGUGGACUUAAUUUUUAUUUUAGAUAAUUUGCUCAUUCUAUGUAUUGGGCCAAUCACUUUUUUUCCAAAUUAGUGUUGAAAUAGAAGUAAUUUGUCUCAAUAUGCUCUCAGGUCAGUGCACAAGCAACAUUAAAGACUUGGCACCUCUAUUGUGAAUACAUGCAGUGUGCUGAAUAUAUCUUUAUACUCUUAUAUUCUAAGAUUCUUUCAGAUCACCUUAGAGAGGAAUGCCCUUAGAGCAGUAAUUUUAAGAGAGUAUAUUGGGUUUUGUACAGGUUGUUGACAAUUUGGUUGUCUGCCAAAGAAUUCUCAGUUUGUUUUUUUUUUUAAUGUAGCGAUUUUGAUCUCAGUGCCCCACUAUGCUCCUGGAAUGGAACCAAUGAGUUACUGCUAUGAUGACGUGUAUAGAUCCUUUAUUAAAUCGCUAUGUGGCCAAAG
ensembl:lncRNA